CUUGUCUCAAAAAUAUAAAUAUAAAUGUUAAUAAUGCAAGCUCAUAAAAUCCAUUUUUCAGUUUAUAUAUAUAUUCCUUUACAAAACAUAAAAACGUCUGCAGUUCCACUCCAAAAAGGUUGUGUCCAGACAGUGAAGCUAAAUGAAUGUCUGUAGUUCUCAAGAUUCCCAGGAGAUGGCACCAUAUUAGUGAGUAACAGCUCAACAACAUCCAGACUAAGGUAGUACUAAGGAAGAAGAAAAAUAUACCAUUGAAAGUUUAUUUUUUGGCACGUUUUUCCUUCUUUGUUUUUUUUGUUGUCAGUCCUCUUCAAAAUCACCUCAUCAUAGCAUACCCUUAAAAACUCUGAACGUCUGAAAAGGGAAAAGAGGACAGAGUGUAUAACUGGAUGAAACGGGGAGCAGAGGGCCAGUGCUUCUGGUCAUGGAGAGAGUCAUAGAGAGGUGUUGUAGAGCAAAUGGUAAUACUGUAAUUGUCUGUGUCUCUGUCUCCCAUUAAAGCCACAGCCCAAACCCUGCCCACUGCCGAUUCCCCCACACACACAGACAGGGGCUACACAUGAACAGACAGAAUGUAAUAAAUAAAAAUUGAAGUUCUCCCCAGUAUAUUCUCUCUCUCUCUCUCUAAUAGAUAUCAAAGGGUCCUGUAAUGAUUAUACAUCUGGAUUUCAGUGUGUGCACCACGUGUGUGACACAGCCACUGCCAGGAAUCUCUGAUGUAAUUAAGGCUACAGCGGACCACCUUUGAGGGUUUGAACAACUUACACGCACACCUACCACCUACCACACACAUACACACCCAGCACACAUACAUACACACACUACCACACACACACACACACAGCAGAGAGGGGGUUGUGUACAGAGAGUCAGGGUGUUCCUCCAGUCACAGCAUACAUGCACUGUAAUGAUGGGUGGCUGUAAUGCUAGCACCUUGUUUUGUGCAAAUCAUCUCCUAGUUCAUAGAAAAUAAUAAAAAUCGGAUCACACCUUUUUUCCUAGGUGGUUAACUAUGCAUAUAUGCCAAACAUUCAUAUAUAUAUAUAUAUAUCUAUAGAAUUUUUGAUUUUCAAA
rnacentral:lncRNA from 1 species